GCCACGCCCGCUCAAGAAACUACAAAGGAAUUGACGGACCCCGCACAAGCGGUGGAUCAUGUUGUUUAAUUCGAUGAUACGCGAAGAACCUUACCAGGUCUUGACAUCCCCCGCGAUGCUUUAGAGAUAAAGCGGAGGUAUUCGGGGAGACAGGUGGUGCAUGGUUGUCGUCAGCUCGUGUCGUGAGAUGUUGGGUUAAGUCCCGCAACGAGCGCAACCCCUAUUGCUAGUUACCAUCAUUAAGUUGGGGACUCUAGCGAGACUGCCAGUGAUAAACUGGAGGAAGUGGGGAUGACGUCAAAUCAUCAUGCCUCUUAUGACCUGGGCUACAAACGUGAUACAAUGGCUGGAACAAAGGGAUGCGAAGCAGUGAUGUGGAGCGAAACCCAUAAAAACAGUCUCAGUUCGGAUUGAAGUCUGCAACUCGACUUCAUGAAGCCGGAAUCGCUAGUAAUCGCGGAUCAGAACGCCGCGGUGAAUACGUUCUCGGGGUUU
rnacentral:rRNA from 1 species